AUUGACCCUUCGGGUGAUUUGUUGGGCGUCGAGCGGCGGACGGGUGAGUAAUGCCUGGGAAAUUGCCCUGAUGUGGGGGAUAACCAUUGGAAACGAUGGCUAAUACCGCAUAACGUCUACGGACCAAAGAGGGGGACCUUCGGGCCUCUCGCUUCAGGAUAUGCCCAGGUGGGAUUAGCUAGUUGGUGAGGUAAUGGCUCACCAAGGCGACGAUCCCUAGCUGGUCUGAGAGGAUGAUCAGCCACACUGGAACUGAGACACGGUCCAGACUCCUACGGGAGGCAGCAGUGGGGAAUAUUGCACAAUGGGCGCAAGCCUGAUGCAGCCAUGCCGCGUGUAUGAAGAAGGCCUUCGGGUUGUAAAGUACUUUCAGUCGUGAGGAAGGCGUUGAAGUUAAUAGCUUCAUCGUUUGACGUUAGCGACAGAAGAAGCACCGGCUAACUCCGUGCCAGCAGCCGCGGUAAUACGGAGGGUGCGAGCGUUAAUCGGAAUUACUGGGCGUAAAGCGCAUGCAGGUGGUUUGUUAAGUCAGAUGUGAAAGCCCGGGGCUCAACCUCGGAACCGCAUUUGAAACUGGCAGGCUAGAGUACUGUAGAGGGGGGUAGAAUUUCAGGUGUAGCGGUGAAAUGCGUAGAGAUCUGAAGGAAUACCAGUGGCGAAGGCGGCCCCCUGGACAGAUACUGACACUCAGAUGCGAAAGCGUGGGGGAGCAAACAGGAUUAGAUACCCUGGUAGUCCACGCCGUAAACGAUGUCUACUUGGAGGUUGUGGCCUUGAGCCGUGGCUUUCGGAGCUAACGCGUUAAGUAGACCGCCUGGGGAGUACGGUCGCAAGAUUAAAACUCAAAUGAAUUGACGGGGGCCCGCACAAGCGGUGGAGCAUGUGGUUUAAUUCGAUGCAACGCGAAGAACCUUACCUACUCUUGACAUCCAGAGAACUCGCUAGAGAUAGCUUGGUGCCUUCGGGAACUCUGAGACAGGUGCUGCAUGGCUGUCGUCAGCUCGUGUUGUGAAAUGUUGGGUUAAGUCCCGCAACGAGCGCAACCCUUAUCCUUGUUUGCCAGCACGUAAUGGUGGGAACUCCAGGGAGACUGCCGGUGAUAAACCGGAGGAAGGUGGGGACGACGUCAAGUCAUCAUGGCCCUUACGAGUAGGGCUACACACGUGCUACAAUGGCGCAUACAGAGGGCGGCCAACCAGCGAUGGUGAGCGAAUCCCAAAAAGUGCGUCGUAGUCCGGAUUGGAGUCUGCAACUCGACUCCAUGAAGUCGGAAUCGCUAGUAAUCGUGAAUCAGAAUGUCACGGUGAAUACGUUCCCGGGCCUUGUACACACCGCCC
rnacentral:rRNA from 1 species